CUUGAGGUAAACAAACAUUAAUUUAUUUUGGGAAAUAAAAUCAAGUAUCAAUCACAGAAUAUAGGGCAAAUACGUGUAAAGAAUUUGAAAAUUCAUACGGGUGAACAUAUAAGGCAAGUCCAUUACCUAAAAAAUCAAGGGAUUAUAGAUACUAGCUUAUUUGAACUUAGUCGGAACACAGGUCUCAAUUAGAGAAUAAAACAAACUGCACAAAAUCAAUUUUCUCAAAUUAGGGUUGUUCAGAAAAGGGGAAAUGUGACAAUAUAAAAAGAUACAUAGAUUCGAGCAUGCAUAAACUGGAAGUAGUAGAAUAACAUGUAGCAGAAACACACCAGCGAGAAUUAGAGGCGGCUAGGGCUUCACUAAGAGGAAAUGGAAAACCCCCUUAAAACUUAGGGUUUCCAUUACACAUAGAGCAUAAGGAAUGUCACAGAUGAAGAUGAACAAAAAAGUAGAACAGCAUGAUGGAAAGCAUAGAACACAUUAACUCGAAACCCCAGAAAACAAACAGUAAAGCAAAAC
rnacentral:lncRNA from 1 species